CUUCAGCGAUCCCAGCCACAGCGGGCGUUCGGGGUCGCGAUCCUGGCCGUAGGUGGCCAGCAGCGCCUGGGCUUC
rnacentral:antisense_RNA from 2 species